AUGGUUCGAGAGGAGGUAGCAGGAUCCACUCAAACACUACAGUGGAAGUGUGUUGAAUCAAGAGUGGAUAGUAAGCGCCUUUAUUAUGGUCGUUUCAUUCUGUCCCCGCUUAGAAAAGGUCAAGCGGACACCGUCGGUAUUGCCUUGCGAAGAGCUUUACUUGGAGAAAUAGAAGGAACAUGUAUCACACGUGCAAAAUUUGGGAGCGUGCCGCACGAGUAUUCUACAAUAGCAGGUAUUGAAGAAUCCGUACAAGAAAUUUUACUAAAUUUGAAAGAAAUUGUAUUGAGAAGUAAUCUCUAUGGAGUUAGAGACGCAUCCAUUUGCGUCAAAGGUCCUAGAUACAUAACUGCUCAAGAUAUCAUCUUACCGCCUUCCGUAGAAAUCGUUGAUACGGCACAACCUAUAGCUAACUUGACAGAGCCCAUUGAUUUCUGUAUUGAUUUACAGAUCAAGAGAGAUCGUGGAUAUCAGACAGAACUCAGAAAGAACUAUCAAGAUGGAAGUUAUCCUAUAGAUGCUGUAUCCAUGCCUGUUCGAAAUGUGAAUUAUAGUAUUUUUUCUUGUGGGAAUGGAAAUGAAAAACACGAGAUACUUUUUCUAGAAAUAUGGACUAAUGGAAGUUUAACCCCUAAGGAAGCACUUUAUGAGGCUUCUCGUAAUUUGAUUGAUUUAUUUCUUCCUUUUCUACACGCGGAGGAAGAGGGCGCUAGUUUCGAAGAAAAUAAAAACAGGUUUACUCCACCCCUUUUUACUUUUCAAAAAAGAUUAACUAAUCUAAAGAAAAACAAAAAAGGAAUUCCAUUGAAUUCUAUUUUUAUUGAUCAAUUAGAAUUGACUUCUAGAACGUAUAAUUGUCUAAAAAGGGCCAAUAUACAUACACUAUUGGACCUUUUGAGUAAGACUGAAGAAGAUCUUCUGAGAAUUGACAGUUUUCGUAUGGAAGAUAGAAAACAUAUAUGGGACCUCAAUCCAUUGAACUAUUCCGCAAUAUUCUUCUGA
rnacentral:rRNA from 1 species